rnacentral:rRNA from 1 species
GAUGAACGCUGGCGGCGUGCCUAAUACAUGCAAGUCGAGCGAACAGACGAGGAGCUUGCUCCUCUGACGUUAGCGGCGGACGGGUGAGUAACACGUGGAUAACCUACCUAUAAGACUGGGAUAACUUCGGGAAACCGGAGCUAAUACCGGAUAAUAUAUUGAACCGCAUGGUUCAAUAGUGAAAGACGGUUUUGCUGUCACUUAUAGAUGGAUCCGCGCCACAUUAGCUAGUUGGUAAGGUAACGGCUUACCAAGGCAACGAUGCGUAGCCGACCUGAGAGGGUGAUCGGCCACACUGGAACUGAGACACGGUCCAGACUCCUACGGGAGGCAGCAGUAGGGAAUCUUCCGCAAUGGGCGAAAGCCUGACGGAGCAACGCCGCGUGAGUGAUGAAGGUCUUCGGAUCGUAAAACUCUGUUAUUAGGGAAGAACAAAUGUGUAAGUAACUAUGCACGUCUUGACGGUACCUAAUCAGGAAGCCACGGCUAACUACGUG